rnacentral:rRNA from 1 species
UACGUAGGGUGCGAGCGUUAAUCGGAAUUACUGGGCGUAAAGCGUGCGCAGGCGGUCUUGCAAGACAGGUGUGAAAUCCCCGGGCUUAACCUGGGAACUGCACUUGUGACUGCAAGGCUGGAGUACGGCAGAAGGGGAUGGAAUUCCGCGUGUAGCAGUGAAAUGCGUAGAUAUGCGGAGGAACACCGAUGGCGAAGGCAAUCCCCUGGGCCUGUACUGACGCUCAUGCACGAAAGCGUGGGGAGCAAACAGG